rnacentral:rRNA from 1 species
UACAGAGGUCCCGAGCGUUGUUCGGAUUCACUGGGCGUAAAGGGUGCGUAGGUGGCCUGAAAAGUUUGUUGUGAAAGCUCAGGGCUUAACCCUGAAAUGGCAUUGAAUACUGUCGGGCUGGAGGUUUGGAGGGGGGACUGGAAUUCUUGGUGUAGCAGUGAAAUGCGUAGAUAUCAAGAGGAACACCAGUGGCGAAGGCGAGUCCCUGGACAACACCUGACACUGAGGCACGAAAGCUAGGGGAGCAAACAGG